GUUUUGGACAUUCAUCAGUUUAUUG
rnacentral:piRNA from 1 species